GAUUCCGAAGAUGACCAAAUCAUGCAUACUCUUGCGGGUUUAGGCACUGAGUAUGACUCUGUCAUGGUCACCAUUACUUCAAAACCAGAAGCUUGGACCAUUGGUGAUGUGAGCUCGUUGUUGCUGAGUUUUGAAA